rnacentral:lncRNA from 10 species
GGGGCAGCGUCUCCAAGCCAAAAGGUAGCGGGUGUCGUGCCAUUUGGAGAGCUGUGUUAUUCUCAUUUUAUAGACAGACUGAGAGGCUGGGUAACCUUCCAAAGGACUAACAGCUAGGAUGUGUACCUGGGGCUCCCUCUCCAGUCUUUUUCAAUGCAUCCUUCCACAUUUUUUUCCCAAGCUUAUAUGAACUAACUAGUUACAAAACUCAUCCAGCUCUAUGGCUUUCAAUGUCAUGUGUAAGUGGAGGAUUCACAAUUUUUUUUUUUUGAGACGGAGUUUAGCUCUUGUUGUCCAGGCUGGAGUGCAAUGGAGCAAUCUUGGCUCACUGCAUCCUCCGCCUCCUGGGUACAAGUGAUUCUUCUGCCCCAGCUUCCCAAGUAGCUGGGAUUACAAGCAUGUGCCACCACGCCUGGCUAAUUUUCGUAUUUUUAGUAGAGACGUAAUUUUAGUAUUUUUAGUAGAUGUUGGUCAGGCUGGUCUCCAACUCCUGAACUCAGGCGAUUCCCUGGGCCCUGGCCUCCCGAAAUGCUGGGAUUACAGGCAUGAGCCACCUUGCCUGGCCAGUAUUCACAACUUCUUAUACCAACUUCUUCCUCCACUGAUUGAUAUUACAUCUGCACAUUCAACAUCGCUUUUUCUCUCUUUUUAAAAAAAAUUAAAUUUUUUAUAGAGACAGAGUCUCAUUAUACUGCCCAGGCUGGUCUCGAACUCCUGAGCUCAAGCGAUAUUCCUGCCUUGACCUCGCAAAGUGUUGGGAUUAGAGGUGUGAGCCACUGCGCCUGGGCAGCACGUUUUUCUCAAACCCGACUUUCACUCUCCGUCUCCACCAUUUAGAAUGUCAUCUCCAUGAAGGCAGGACGAUUUCCUUCACUACUGAAUUCCCAGUAUCUCAGUGCUUGGCAAAUAUUAGUAGACAGUCAAUAAAUAUUUGUUGGCCAGGCAUGGUGGCUCAUGCCUGUAAUCCCAGCACUUUGGGAAGCCGAGGCAGAUAGAUCACUUGAGGUCAGGAGUUCGAGACCAACCUGGCCAACAUGGCGAAACCCCAUCUGUACUGCAAAUACCAAA